GUGUGUUCCAGGUAAAUCCGGUUCACUUUAACACUGAGGCGUGACGACGAGGCACUACGGUGCUGAAGCAACAAAUGCCCUGCUUCCAGGAAAAGCCUCUAAGCAUCAGGUAACACGAAAUCGUACCCCAAACCGACACAGGUGGUCAGGUAGAGAAUACCAAGGCGCUUGAGAGAACUCGGGUGAAGGAACUAGGCAAAAUGGUGCCGUAACUUCGGGAGAAGGCACGCUGACACGUAGGUGAAGUGAUUUACUCAUGGAGCUGAAGUCAGUCGAAGAUACCAGCUGGCUGCAACUGUUUAUUAAAAACACAGCACUGUGCAAACACGAAAGUGGACGUAUACGGUGUGACGCCUGCCCGGUGCCGGAAGGUUAAUUGAUGGGGUCAGCGCAAGCGAAGCUCCUGAUCGAAGCCCCGGUAAACGGCGGCCGUAACUAUAACGGUCCUAAGGUAGCGAAAUUCCUUGUCGGGUAAGUUCCGACCUGCACGAAUGGCGUAAUGAUGGCCAGGCUGUCUCCACCCGAGACUCAGUGAAAUUGAACUCGCUGUGAAGAUGCAGUGUACCCGCGGCAAGACGGAAAGACCCCGUGAACCUUUACUAUAGCUUGACACUGAACAUUGAGCCUUGAUGUGUAGGAUAGGUGGGAGGCUUUGAAGCGUGGACGCCAGUCUGCGUGGAGCCGACCUUGAAAUACCACCCUUUAAUGUUUGAUGUUCUAACGUGGACCCGUAAUCCGGGUUGCGGACAGUGUCUGGUGGGUAGUUUGACUGGGGCGGUCUCCUCCUAAAGAGUAACGGAGGAGCACGAAGGUUGGCUAAUCCUGGUCGGACAUCAGGAGGUUAGUGCAAUGGCAUAAGCCAGCUUGACUGCGAGCGUGACGGCGCGAGCAGGUGCGAAAGCAGGUCAUAGUGAUCCGGUGGUUCUGAAUGGAAGGGCCAUCGCUCAACGGAUAAAAGGUACUCCGGGGAUAACAGGCUGAUACCGCCCAAGAGUUCAUAUCGACGGCGGUGUUUGGCACCUCGAUGUCGGCUCAUCACAUCCUGGGGCUGAAGUAGGUCCCAAGGGUAUGGCUGUUCGCCAUUUAAAGUGGUACGCGAGCUGGGUUUAGAACGUCGUGAGACAGUUCGGUCCCUAUCUGCCGUGGGCGCUGGAGAACUGAGGGGGGCUGCUCCUAGUACGAGAGGACCGGAGUGGACGCAUCACUGGUGUUCGGGUUGUCAUGCCAAUGGCACUGCCCGGUAGCUAAAUGCGGAAGAGAUAAGUGCUGAAAGCAUCUAAGCACGAAACUUGCCCCGA
rnacentral:rRNA from 1 species